CGAUGAAGCACCAGCUUGCUGGUGUGGAUUAGUGGCGAACGGGUGAGUAACACGUGAGUAACCUGCCCCUCACUCUGGGAUAAGCCUGGGAAACUGGGUCUAAUACUGGAUACGACCGAUCUCCGCAUGGAGUGUUGGUGGAAAGUUUUUGUGGUGGGGGAUGGACUCGCGGCCUAUCAGCUUGUUGGUGGGGUAAUGGCCUACCAAGGCGACGACGGGUAGCCGGCCUGAGAGGGCGACCGGCCACACUGGGACUGAGACACGGCCCAGACUCCUACGGGAGGCAGCAGUGGGGAAUAUUGCACAAUGGGCGAAAGCCUGAUGCAGCGACGCCGCGUGAGGGAUGACGGCCUUCGGGUUGUAAACCUCUUUCACCAGGGACGAAGCUAACGUGACGGUACCUGGAGAAGAAGCACCGGCUAACUACGUGCCAGCAGCCGCGGUAAUACGUAGGGUGCGAGCGUUGUCCGGAAUUAUUGGGCGUAAAGAGCUUGUAGGCGGUUUGUCGCGUCUGCUGUGAAAGACCGGGGCUUAACUCCGGUUCUGCAGUGGGUACGGGCAGACUAGAGUGUGGUAGGGGAGACUGGAAUUCCUGGUGUAGCGGUGAAAUGCGCAGAUAUCAGGAGGAACACCGAUGGCGAAGGCAGGUCUCUGGGCCAUUACUGACGCUGAGAAGCGAAAGCAUGGGGAGCGAACAGGAUUAGAUACCCUGGUAGUCCAUGCCGUAAACGUUGGGCGCUAGGUGUGGGACUCAUUCCACGAGUUCCGUGCCGCAGCUAACGCAUUAAGCGCCCCGCCUGGGGAGUACGGCCGCAAGGCUAAAACUCAAAGGAAUUGACGGGGGCCCGCACAAGCGGCGGAGCAUGCGGAUUAAUUCGAUGCAACGCGAAGAACCUUACCAAGGCUUGACAUACACCGGAAUCAUGCAGAGAUGUGUGCGUCUUCGGACUGGUGUACAGGUGGUGCAUGGUUGUCGUCAGCUCGUGUCGUGAGAU
rnacentral:rRNA from 1 species